rnacentral:rRNA from 1 species
UACGUAGGGCGCAAGCGUUGUCCGGAAUUAUUGGGCGUAAAGAGCUCGUAGGCGGCUUGUCACGUCGGGUGUGAAAGCCCGGGGCUUAACCCCGGGUCUGCAUUCGAUACGGGCAGGCUAGAGUGUGGUAGGGGAGAUCGGAAUUCCUGGUGUAGCGGUGAAAUGCGCAGAUAUCAGGAGGAACACCAGUAGCGAAGGCGACACUCUGGGCCGGUACUGACGCUGAGGAGCGAAAGCGUGGGGAGCAAACAGG